CGGGUAGUGGAAGCCAUGGAAGGAAAUAGGAUUAUAUAGGGAGGGGUGAAUUCUGCAGAUGUAUAUAGGACUAACUGAAGCGAAGGCGAUUUUCUAUGUGGUAUUCGUCGAUCAAGAACGAAAGCCGGAGUAUCGAAGACGAUUAGAUCCCGUGGUAGUUCCGCCCAGUAAAGGAUGUUAUAUUAUUUGUAUGGCGAUGCGAGUCGCGGUGUGGAUAUAUAGAAAUUAAGAUAUUAUGAACUUUGGGGAUAGUACGAACGCAAGUUUUAAACUUAAAUGAAAUUGACGGAAGGACACACCAGGAGUGGAGUGUGCGGUUUAAUUUGACUCAACGCGGGACAACUUCCCAUUUUUUGAAGUAAGUAUGAGUGCCAUUUCAGGAUUUUACUAUGAGUGGUGCAUGCCCGUUACCAAUCCGUGAUGUGAAUUUUGAUUUUCCAAUAGAAUUUUUUAUUAAUAUGUUAAAUCCCCCAAUG
rnacentral:rRNA from 1 species